UACGGAGGAUGCGAGCGUUAUCCGGAUUUAUUGUGUUUAAAGGGUGCGUAGGCGGAAUAUCAAGUCAGCGGUAAAAAUUCGGGGCUCAACCCCGUCGUGCCGUUGAAACUGGCGGGCUGGAGUUGGAGAGAAGUACGCGGAAUGCGCGGUGUAGCGGUGAAAUGCAUAGAUAUCACGCAGAACCCCGAUUGCGAAGGCAGCAUACCGGUGCACAACUGACGCUCAGGCACGAAAGCGUGGGUAUCGAACAGG
rnacentral:rRNA from 1 species